CACAGAUUUAGAUCUCCUCUACCAUCUAUUUGCCAGAUGUAGGAUGAACUUUAUAAGCACUUUUAUUCCUUUAGACUUGAACAAGAAAUAUCCAAAUAUGUAGUGUAAACCACUAAACCCAGAAGUUAAAGAUCAUUAAGAUUUCUUAUUCCAGGCCCUGAACUCUGGAAGUGGAUUAUCCAAUGGCACCAGCUUCCCUUGCAGUCCAGGAAUAAAUUUGUGACCCUGGCUUGACAGAUAUUCAUUCUGAUACAUCAUCGGUUAUUUUGAUCUAAACAAGUCUCCACUGAAUACAGGUUUCCCAAAAUUUCAGG